CAAUUUUUAGCACCAGCAGAUGGCUUAUGAAAUCAGUGAGCAAAAGAAGGUUGGCAUAGGUCUUGUUGGUUUUGGGAUCCUCUUCUCAUUUCUUGGCAUCAUUCUAUUUUUUGACAGGGGUUUGCUUGCUCUGGAAAUGUAAGAGAGUAGUUUGUAAUUAAGAUUUGCUUAUUAGAUGAUAUCCAAGUAUAGAAUAAAAAAUUACUUGAGUCUAUAAAAAAUUACUUGAGUCUAUAAAAAAUUACUUGUGUCCAUCUCAUGCCUUUGUUAGUAGAUAUUAUGGUUGGGCAGGUGUUGCCCUUUUACUGGGUUGGCGGUCGACACUGCAACUUUUUACAGACAGAAGGAACUAUAAGGGAUCUGUUUCAUUUCUUCUUGGGAUGUUCCUCAUAUUUGUUCGUUGGCCAAUAGCUGGUAUAAUCACAGAAUUGUAUGGCUGCGUUUUUCUCUUUGGUGGAUUUUGGCCAUCUAUUAAGGUAUUUCUCUAUCAGAUUCCGCUACUUGGAUGGCUGCUGCAGUAUAUCCGACACUGAUUCUUGAUCGUCUAUGAUAGCUUCCUGUUUGAUCUUCUGCUUACGUUGCUCAGUUCAAAACUGCCUCCUGGUUGAAGGACUGAAAAGCAUGAAUUUUUUCCAGUUGAAGGACAGAAAGACUUCAUCAAAUUUGCAGAAGCAAUCAAAGGACCUACUAACAAAGUGUUAAAGCAGAUGAUUUACAAUUUUUAUCUUCAGUUAAUAUUUGGGAUUAUGUAUUCUAAUGGCUGUCAAAUGUAAUUAUAUUGUCUUCAUCCUA